rnacentral:rRNA from 1 species
UUUAUGCACGUGGUAGGAGAGCGUUCUAGCGGCGGUGAAGCAUGACCGAGAGGACAUGUGGAGCUUCUAGAAGUGAGAAUGCCGGUAUGAGUAACGAAAGACAGGUGAGAAUCCUGUCCGCCGCAAGACUAAGGUUUCCUGGGGCAGGCUCGUCCGCCCAGGGUAAGUCGGGACCUAAGGCGAGGCCGAGAGGCGUAGUCGAUGGACAACAGGUUGAAAUUCCUGUACUGCACCGAAUCGUUAUGAGCGAUGGAGGGACGCAGGAGGCUAGCAGCGCGUGGUGCUGGAUACCACGUUCAAGCGUCAAGUCUGAGAGUGAGUCAAAUGCUUGCUCUCAUAAGGACAAGGCGUGAUGAGGAGCGAAAUUAAAGUAGCGAAGGCUGCGACGUCACACUGCCGAGAAAAGCUUCUAGCCAGAGACGGUGCACCCGUACCGCAAACCGACACAGGUAGUCGAGGAGAGUAUCCUCAGGUGAGCGAGAGAACUCUCGUUAAGGAACUCGGCAAAAUGGCCCCGUAACUUCGGGAGAAGGGGCGCUGGUCGCAAGAUCAGCCGCAGUGAAAAGGCCCAAGCAACUGUUUAUCAAAAACACAGGCAUCUGCAAAAUCGUAAGAUGAAGUAUAGGUGCUGACACCUGCCCGGUGCUGGAAGGUUAAGAGGAGAGCUUAGCGCAAGCGAAGGUUUGAAUUGAAGCCCCAGUAAACGGCGGCCGUAACUAUAACGGUCCUAAGGUAGCGAAAUUCCUUGUCGGGUAAGUUCCGACCUGCACGAAAGGUGUAAUGAUUUGGGCACUGUCUCAACGAGAGACUCGGUGAAAUUAUAAUACCCGUGAAGAUGCGGGUUACCCGCGACAGGACGGAAAGACCCCAUGGAGCUUUACUGCAGUUUAAUAUUGGGUAUCUGUCAAGCAUGUACAGGAUAGGUAGGAGCCGGAGAAGAUAGGACGCCAGUCUUAUCAGAGGCGCUGUUGGGAUACUACCCUUGCUUGACGGAUGCUCUAACUCAGGCCUGUGAUCCAGGCCGAGGACAGUGUUUGACGGGCAGUUUGACUGGGGCGGUCGCCUCCUAAAGUGUAACGGAGGCGCCCAAAGGUUCCCUCAGAAUGGUUGGAAAUCAUUCGCAGAGUGUAAAGGUAAAAGGGAGCUUGACUGCGAGAGAGACAACUCGAGCAGGUACGAAAGUAGGGCUUAGUGAUCUGGUGGUACCGUAUGGAAGGGCCAUCACUCAACGGAUAAAAGCUACCCUGGGGAUAACAGGCUUAUCUCCCCCAAGAGUUCACAUCGACGGGGAGGUUUGGCACCUCGAUGUCGGCUCGUCGCAUCCUGGGGCUGAAGUCGGUCCCAAGGGUUGGGCUGUUCGCCCAUUAAAGCGGCACGCGAGCUGGGUUCAGAACGUCGUGAGACAGUUCGGUCCCUAUCCGUCGUGGGCGCAGGAAAUUUGAGAGGAGCUGUCCUUAGUACGAGAGGACCGGGAUGGACGCACCGCUGGUGUACCAGUUGUCUUGCCAAAGGCAUCGCUGGGUAGCUAUGUGCGGACGGGAUAAGCGCUGAAAGCAUCUAAGUGCGAAGCCCCCCUCAAGAUGAGAUUUCCCAUUUCUUCAAGAAAGUAAGACACCUCAGAGACGAUGAGGUAGAUAGGCCGGGAGUGGAAGAGCCGUGAGGCUUGGAGCGGACCGGUACUAAUCAGUCGAGGACUUGACCAAAA